rnacentral:tRNA from 1 species
GCCACCGUAGCUCAGUUGGUAGAGCAACGCAUUCGUAAUGCGUGGGUCAGGAGUUCGAUUCUCCUCGGUGGCUCAA